rnacentral:sRNA from 1 species
GGAGCGUAUAUGAGAAAUCAAACAUCUGAUAAAACGUAUUACAAUGAAAGCUUAUCAAAUUUAUAAUUUUUUAUAACAGAAUCUUGUAAAAGCUUAUAAAGUCUUUUAAAUAUUUUGUUAAAAAAAAGCUUUUUUAUUAACAAAAUAUAAUAUCUUACACAGUGGUAACUCUCGAGAAGACGGAGAUAGCGAUCGAAAUAGAAAAAUAAUCGUCCCUCUGUUCCUAAUUAAUCUAAUUUCUACACUUUUCACACAUAUUAAAAGAACACAUCAAAAAUCCAUUAAAAAUGUUUUGGUU